rnacentral:tRNA from 1 species
CGGGAUGUAGCACAGCUUGGUAGCGCGCAUCGUUCGGGACGAUGAGGUCGCAGGUUCGAAUCCUGUCAUCCCGA